UACCUACUCUUGACAUCCACAGAACUUUCCAGAGAUAGAUCGGUGCCUUCGGGAACUCUGAGACAGGUGCCGCAUGGGUGUCGUCAGCAAGUGUUGUGAAAUGUUGGGUUAAAAACCGCAACGAGCGCAACCCUUAUCCUUGUUCCAGCACGUCAUAGUGGGCACUCUAAGGAGACUGCCGGUGACAAACCGGAGGAAGGUGGGGAUGACGUCAAGUCAUCAUGGCCCUUACGACUAGGGCUACACACGACUACAAUGGCAUAUACAAAGAGUAGCGAACUCGCGAGGGCGCGCCACCCUCAUAAAGUAGAUCGUAGUCCGGAUCGCAGUCUGCAACUCGAAACCGGAAGUCGGAAUCGCUAGUAAAAGUAGAUCAGAAUGCGCGGUGAAACGUUCCCGGCCUUCUUUUUGUCACCCGUCCCCCCCUGGCAUAGCCCCCGCGAGAGCCCCCCUUCCCUCUUCCUA
rnacentral:rRNA from 1 species